rnacentral:tRNA from 1 species
GCCAAGUGAGCAAGGAAUAAUGCGGUUGACUUAGGAUCAACAGUCAAAGAUAAUGUCUUUAUUUGGUG